GUUUGAUUUUUAUUUAUUUUUCUUUAUUAGGAAAGCACUUUCACAAGCAUGUCAUUAAAGUCUCAUGACUUUUCCUUCAAAGGAAGAGGAGGUACACUUGGUGUUGUAUUUACAUUAAAAGACAUCUUGAACUCUGUUACUUACAGGGAACUCAACUAGGCCACUAAAUCCUCUCGGCUUUUAAAUAAAGAUGAUAAUAAUUACGUAUGUUCUAUCUAUCUCUCAGCGUAUCAUUAUAAAAAUGGAAGCAGCUCAUUUGUGUGAAUAUGACUAGCAGACCAUUAUGUGUGCUUUUAAUAGCAUAGGUUAUAUUCACAUUGUACAGAAAAUGGAAAGGCUAAGUGGUGAUCAAAAGAUAAUUAACCUAGUUAGGUGAGGCUGGGUUUAUGGCCUAAGGUCUAGGUCUCCAAAUUACUCUUAAGUACUGCUUUGACCCAUGCUUUGGACAGUGGUUAAUAAAUAAAAAAUUCACAUAGUCUGGGGAUUUCCUCAGUUUUCCUUUUGGAUUAAAGAGUCAGACUUAGUUGGUUCCCAGGAUCUUCUAGCUGCAAACUAUAACAAUCAAGUACCGGGUUGUCCAAGUGGCUCAGAGGGCACGAUUGCCCUAGAACGGUACAAGCAUCCUAAACAGUGGCUGAAGAGCUCUCUGUGGAAAGCAGACAGGAAUUUCCUUCGCUUCUGUGAGAAGAAGGGGCAAGAACCAAGAAGAUGGUUUGAGGUUCGAACCAUGACUCAGUUCACGUAGACUUUCUGCAAGAGGGGAAGGAAAAAAAGGCAGAAGAUGGAUUUCUAAGAUUCAAGGUCAAGCUUUCAGUGAAAUCUUCUAAACACACAAAUGGCCUUGCCUGAGGUCUUCUGGGGUUGUUUGUUCUCUUUGUUUUGUUUCAGUGGAUUCAUGUGGACAUUAGGAAAAUAAAAAGGAGCUAUAAAAAUGUAAGCCUCUUUCCUCCCUCCCCUACAAUUCUUAAAAAAUUGGCUUUGGACAUCUCUCUCACCAGAUCACAUACAGAAUAGAAUAAAAACACCAAACAAACAAG
ensembl:lncRNA